rnacentral:rRNA from 1 species
CCUUACCUACUCUUGACAUCCAGAGGAGCCAGCGGAGACGCAGGUGUGCCUUCGGGAACUCUGAGACAGGUGCUGCAUGGCUGUCGUCAGCUCGUGUUGUGAAAUGUUGGGUUAAGUCCCGCAACGAGCGCAACCCUUAUCCUUGUUUGCCAGCGAGUAAUGUCGGGAACUCCAGGGAGACUGCCGGUGAUAAACCGGAGGAAGGUGGGGACGACGUCAAGUCAUCAUGGCCCUUACGAGUAGGGCUACACACGUGCUACAAUGGCGCAUACAGAGGGCAGCCAACUUGCGAAAGUGAGCGAAUCCCAAAAAGUGCGUCGUAGUCCGGAUUGGAGUCUGCAACUCGACUCCAUGAAGUCGGAAUCGCUAGUAAUCGUAGAUCAGAAUGCUACGGUGAAUACGUUCCC